rnacentral:rRNA from 1 species
AGCAGCCGCGGUAAUUCCAGCUCCAACAGCGUAUAUUAAAGUUGUUGCAGUUAAAGAGCUCGUAGUUGAAUUUCGGGGUCAGUAGAUUGGUCGUGCCACUGGUAUGUACUGGUCUCACUGGCUCCUCCUUCCUGAUGAACCGUAAUGCCAUUAAUUUGGUGUUGCGGGGAGACUGGACUGUUACUUUGAAAAAUUGAGUGUUUAAAGCAGGCUAACGCUUGAAUACAUUAGCAUGGAAUAAUGAAAUAGGACGUUCGAUCUUAUUUUGUUGGUUUCUAAGAUUGACGUAAUGAUUAAUAGGGAUAGUUGGGGGCAUUAGUAUUCAAUUGUCAGAGGUGAAAUUCUUGGAUUUAUUGAAGACUAACUACUGCGAAAGCAUUUGCCAAGGAUGUUUUCAUUAAUCAAGAACGAAAGUUAGGGGAUCGAAGACGAUCAGAU